CAGCGACAGCAAACUGCCGGAUAUGCAGGCCGGAUGGGAGCAGAUGUGCUCCAAUGUGAUGGCUGGUCUGUCGGGACUUAAUAUGGUCUACGAGGCUG
rfam:Shimia marina strain CECT 7688 genome assembly, contig: 0027